rnacentral:rRNA from 1 species
UGGGGAAUAUUGCACAAUGGGCGCAAGCCUGAUGCAGCGACGCCGCGUGAGGGAUGGAGGCCUUCGGGUUGUAAACCUCUUUCAGCAGGGAAGAAGCGUGAGUGACGGUACCUGCAGAAGAAGCGCCGGCUAACUACGUGCCAGCAGCCGCGGUAAUACGUAGGGUGCAAGCGUUGUCCGGAAUUAUUGGGCGUAAAGAGCUCGUAGGCGGUUUGUCGCGUCGGCUGUGAAAACCUCAGGCUCAACCUGGGGCUUGCAGUGGAUACGGGCAGACUAGAGUGCGGCAGGGGAGACUGGAAUUCCUGGUGUAGCGGUGAAAUGCGCAGAUAUCAGGAGGAACACC